ensembl:lncRNA
GGGUGGUUAUGGGGCGGUUAUGGGGUGGUUAUGGGGCAGUGCAGAACAUGGCCGUGGGCAAGCAGAACCUCGAGGUCAUGAUCAGCAACUCCAACCGCUCCCAGCAGGACUUCGGUACGGGGGGCCGGGGGUCAGAGGUCACAGGUCGGGGGUCAGGGGGUCACGGAGUCAAUGGUUGGGUCAGUGUGGGGUUGGGGUGAGAAGAGGGGAGAGCGGAGGGGAGAGAGGGGAAAGAGAGUGUGGAGGGGAUGAUGUGGGGCUGCAAUGGGUCCCUGGAGAGCCUCGGAGGGGGGUCAGAGGUCAGAGGUCACGUGCCAUGGGGUCAGUAUGGGGUCAGUAUGGGGUCUUAGGGUCAGUAUGGGGUCGGUAUGGGGUCAUUAUGGGGUGCUGGGGUCAGUGUGGGGUGGUUAUGGGGCAGUGCAGAACAUGGCCGUGGGCAAGCAGAACCUCGAGGUCAUGAUCAGCAACUCCAACCGCUCCCAGCAGGACUUCGGUACGGGGGGCGGGGGGUCAGAGGUCACAGGUCGGGGGUCAGGGGUCAGUAUAGGGGGUGGUGGGGUCAGUGUGGGGUGAUGGGGUUGGGGUGAGAAGAGGGGAAAGAGAGUGUGGAGGGGAUGAUGUGGGGCUGCAAUGGGUCCCUGGAGAGCCUUGGAGGGGGGUCAGAGGUCAGAGGUCACGUGCCAUGGGGUCAGUAUGGGGUCAGUAUGGGGUCUUAGGAUCGGU